AAGUUAUUUCAAUGUUGGUUUGAGACUUAAUUCUAAUUUGUUAUUUUGAGCUCAACUUCCUGAAUUUAUGCAGAGUUCUGUGCUUGCCUUGGAAGAUUCAGCAAUAGAUGCUGAUCAAGUUGAGAACAUCAUUAUGUUUUGCCCAACAAAGGAGGAGAUUGAAAUGCUUAUGGUAAAAAAAUGUUUUAGAUUUAUUAGCUAUUUGUACACAAAUCAUGUUGAAAACUGUAAAUUCACUUAUCUUGUAAAGGCCUUGUGCCUCUUUUGUGUGGAAUAAAGUUCAAGUUCGGAA